CAGUCGAGCGAGCGGAACCAACAGAUUUACUUCGGUAAUGACGUUGGGAAAGCGAGCGGCGGAUGGGUGAGUAACACGUGGGGAACCUGCCCCUAAGUCUGGGAUACCAUUUGGAAACAGGUGCUAAUACCGGAUAAUAAAGCAGAUCGCAUGAUCAGCUUUUGAAAGGCGGCGUAAGCUGUCGCUAAGGGAUGGCCCCGCGGUGCAUUAGCUAGUUGGUAAGGUAACGGCUUACCAAGGCGACGAUGCAUAGCCGAGUUGAGAGACUGAUCGGCCACAUUGGGACUGAGACACGGCCCAAACUCCUACGGGAGGCAGCAGUAGGGAAUCUUCCACAAUGGACGCAAGUCUGAUGGAGCAACGCCGCGUGAGUGAAGAAGGUUUUCGGAUCGUAAAGCUCUGUUGUUGGUGAAGAAGGAUAGAGGUAGUAACUGGCCUUUAUUUGACGGUAAUCAACCAGAAAGUCACGGCUAACUACGUGCCAGCAGCCGCGGUAAUACGUAGGUGGCAAGCGUUGUCCGGAUUUAUUGGGCGUAAAGCGAGCGCAGGCGGAAAAAUAAGUCUAAUGUGAAAGCCCUCGGCUUAACCGAGGAACUGCAUCGGAAACUGUUUUUCUUGAGUGCAGAAGAGGAGAGUGGAACUCCAUGUGUAGCGGUGGAAUGCGUAGAUAUAUGGAAGAACACCAGUGGCGAAGGCGGCUCUCUGGUCUGCAACUGACGCUGAGGCUCGAAAGCAUGGGUAGCGAGCAGGAUUAGAUACCCUGGUAGUCCAUGCCGUAAACGAUGAGUGCUAAGUGUUGGGAGGUUUCCGCCUCUCAGUGCUGCAGCUAACGCAUUAAGCACUCCGCCUGG
rnacentral:rRNA from 1 species